GAUGAACGCUGGCGGCGUGCCUAACACAUGCAAGUCGAACGAGCGAGAGAUGAAACCUAGUGAUUCUCAAGCGAGUGGCGGACGGGUGAGUAACGCGUGGGUAACCUGCCUUACAGAGGGGGAAAACAGUCUGAAAAGACUGCUAAUACCGCAUAAGCACACAGUACCGCAUGGUACAGGGUGAAAAGAUUUAUCACUGUAAGAUGGACCCGCGUCUGAUUAGCCAGUUGGCAGGGUAACGGCCUACCAAAGCGACGAUCAGUAGCCGACCUGAGAGGGUGAUCGGCCACAUUGGGACUGAGACACGGCCCAAACUCCUACGGGAGGCAGCAGUGGGGGAUAUUGCACAAUGGAGGAAACUCUGAUGCAGCGACGCCGCGUGAGUGAAGAAGUAUUUCGGUAUGUAAAGCUCUAUCAGCAGGGAAGAAAAUGACGGUACCUGACUAAGAAGCCCCGGCUAACUACGUGCCAGCCGCCGC
rnacentral:rRNA from 1 species